rnacentral:rRNA from 1 species
GGAUUAGAUACCCUGGUAGUCCACGCUGUAAACGAUGUCGACUUGGAGGUUGUGCCCUUGAGGCGUGGCUUCCGGAGCUAACGCGUUAAGUCGACCGCCUGGGGAGUACGGCCGCAAGGUUAAAACUCAAAUGAAUUGACGGGGGCCCGCACAAGCGGUGGAGCAUGUGGUUUAAUUCGAUGCAACGCGAAGAACCUUACCUACUCUUGACAUCCAGAGAAUUCGCUAGAGAUAGCUUAGUGCCUUCGGGAACUCUGAGACAGGUGCUGCAUGGCUGUCGUCAGCUCGUGCCG